AACACUUCAAAAAAAUGUACACAUAGAAGACAAGUCAUGCUGAGGAAAUAUGCAUAGUUUCAUGACUAUACAACACUAUAUGGAUGAUACAAAAUUAAAAAACUAUCAUACAUCUGAUGUCACUCUGUCCCUCUGUCACUGUGGGUAAUGUGUGUGUGUGUGUGUGUGUGUGUGUGUGUGUGUGUGUGUGUGUGUGUGUGUGUGUUAAGUGAAUUAGGUGUGAAACUAUCAGGGAGCAUUUAGUCUCCAGCGCCAACAUUUUACAGAACUGCCACUUUCCUGGAGUCUCAGAAUUACUCUGUGUCAGGUUCUGAGAGAUCAAAGAUUCCAAAAAAUGAUUUAAUUAGAAUACCAUGAAGCAUUGUGAAAUACUAUAUAUCAAGACUUUAUAUAUCGGCUUUAUGAACAGAUUAGAGUGACUUGUGAAGGACCAGCACCACCUCCUCUUGUCCGAUGGUUUGAGGAAUAUAUCUUCCAGAGUCCGGGAUUAAGAUUUAGGAGCUCAUUUUUAUUCCACCUCCUUUCCUGAAAGUCUGUCUUGCAGAAUUGACUAAAAUCUUCACAUUAAUUCCUAAUUAUUUUGCAAUUAUUUUUGUCAGUUCUUCUUGACCUGUUUUUUUUUUUCUUCUUCUUUUCUGACCUCAUGACCCAGUCAGCAUUUUUGUACAAUGGUCAAGUCUUAACUUAUCCAUUUCUGUAUUGCAUUUGUGUUUGAUAUUUCUCAUGGGUAUUUCAUAAUUUUCGACUUUGAGUUAAAACAGUUUGAGUUAAAACUCUUUUUUAGCGCAUUUCAUAUGUAAAAGAAAACAUGCCUUAUAAUUCUGCACAUGAAUAUAAGGAGUUUUUCUCUUCCAGCUUUCCUGGACUAUUGUAUAGCACUCAUAAAUGAUUAAAUAAAAAAUAAUGGUAGUUAAUAAGAUUGAUAUGGUUUGGAAUUGGUAAAAUGUGCUUGGAAAAAAAUCACAAUAAAACAAUGUUUUAAUGUUUAAGUUUGGAAUAUUAACUGACAUGAAUGAAUGCUAUAUAAAUAUUGUUCAUGUUAACAUAAUGUUUAUCAAUGAAAUCUUAUUGUAAAGUGUUACUAAAUAUAUAUAUGCUGAGGGCCAUAUAUCAUACAUACUUGCUCGUAGACGUAUGAAACUCGGUACACAUAUAGAUCUCAUCAAUCCAAACAACUUUCGUAUUGCAUGUCAUAGGCUCCGCCCAACAGGAAGUUGGCUAUUUAGGGUUUAGUAUUCAUAUUUGUCGUCAAAGUUUUGGGGGCUUUUGGGGUCCUUAACAUACUCAAAAACUCUUGAAAAUUUGCGCACACUUUGGAAUCUGUGGCCUUUAGGAGCCUGCAGAGGCUGGGACCCGGGUGUGGCACAGGGGCUCUAUGGCGCCCCCUGGAUCACAGUCAGAAAUGUUGAUGUAUAGCUCACACAUACUUGCACAUAUUCAUAUGAAACUCAGUACACAUAUAGAUCUCAUCGUGCCGAAAACCUUUCGUAUUGCAUGUCAUAGGCUCCGCCCAACAGGAAGUCAGCUAUUUAGAGUUAUGUAAAAAGCGCAUGCUCUGGAAUUUGAAAUACUUGUCAUAGGUUUUUUACUCAAUUGCCGCCAAACUCGGUCAACAUGAUCUCAAGACAUUGGGGAUAAAAAAAUUGCCAGGGGAUUUUUGAUAUCGCGAACGGUUUGCUCGUGGCGAGGCUUUGAAAUUAUGGCGAGAAAUGAGAAACAGGAAGUGUCUAAUACCAUCCACAUACAUUUCCUGAUUUUAAUCAAACUUCAUCAGAUUAUUCGUUGUAUGAUGUCGAUCGCAUAUAUGUGACUAUUAGGAGUCAAAGUUAUAGCGCCACCAACUGGCAGCAGGAAGUGUGUCAUUUUCAAAAUGAUUUGAAUUCAGCAUCUUAUUAUUACUCGAUUUGCUUCAAACUUCAUCAGCAUAAUGUUAAAACACAGCCGAUAUAAAUCUGCACGGGGGAUAUUGAUAUCUAAAAAUAUUGUUGCCGUGGCAACAUGUCAAACUGGAAUAUUUCUCAGGUGAUUUUGAGGCAUAUAACAUGCUUAGAAUUUCAUCAAACUCAGAACACAUAUCAGUAUUAGUGACAGCUAGACACUGGCAAAAUUUCAUAAGAGGGCGUGGAAGAGGCACUCUAUAGCGCCACCUUUUGUCAAAAGUGGGGGGGUUAGUUUUAGCUACAGACACCAAACUCAGUACAAAAAUUGUUCUUAUCAAGACGGACAACUUUCUAAUUCACAGUCAUCAGCUACGACCAACAGGAAGUCGGCUAUUUUGAUUUGAAUGUGGAUUGUUUUUUACAUUUAGCUGUGAAUUAAUGCAUACUGCUCAGAGGAGAGUAACACUAUACACACCAAACUUGGUGUACAUGUUGAAAAAACAUUGAGGAACUUAAAUUGUGAAUGGGUUUUGGAUAGCUUGGAUGGUUUUGUCGUGGGGAUUUUUUAAAAUGACAAUAAAGAUGGAAUUAUUAAUUUUCCUGCAUUUUUAAAUUCCAAACACUUCAAAACCUUUUUUCAUAAAGAAAAAAAGUUAUUCUGAGUAAAUAUGCAUAGUUUCAUGACUUUACAACACUGUAUGGAUAACAGAAAAUUAAAAAACUGUCAGACAUCUCAUAUCACUCUGUCCCUCUGUUUGAGUGUGUGUGCUUAGACUUCCAUUGUCUGAGAGAAAUAGCGCCCCUACAGGUGCAGUUACCGGAAUAAAAAAGGGAGGAGACUGUCUUUUGGUUUCGAUUUUAAAUCGGUUAAAAUACAAAUAAAUACUUGGAUUUAAUUCACACUGACAAGCUAAACCAACAUAUAUGAUUAUUAUAAGGUCAGGGCUCAUUAAUAAUUGAUGUGUGGUCAGUGAUACCUGAGAAACACGAGAGAUGAAUCACCGCUCUGAGCAGGAGCGUGUGGAAUGAUGAGCUCAGAAAAAAACGAGUUUAUUCUUGUUUUAUAGCUAUUAAAAAUAAAGUAUUGCAGCGAUAUCACACAAUUCACCAAUUAGAGCACACCAAGAGCUAAAUUAAGAUGUUUUUGAACUGUUUGUGUGAAAAUGAAAUAUUCGCGGCUGCCUAUCUGAAAUAACUGCCUCCGAUCAGCGCGCACAGUGUCACAAGUUCAAAACAAACGAAUUUAUUCUUGUUUAAGAGCUUUUCAAAAUAAAUUAUUGCCAUAAAUGCACACAAUACAUCCAUUAUAACACUACACGAGCUAAAUGCAGGUGUUUGUGACCCGUUUAAGUGUGCAAGACUAUUUGAAAGCGCGACUGGCAGAAUAACAUUUCUCUCUCGAGCUGCAGGAUUCUGCCUUUCGUCGUAAGAACGAACACAUCACGGACAAGAUUAUUUCAAAAUACAUAAUAGCUUGGCUAAUAUAAACGAAAACAGCCACGUGAACAUAAACUGUUGAGAAAUAAAUCUGAAGUGGAUCUACUGGAUUUUAAUAUUAAGUGACCGCAUAUACCAGCUGCUUCUGUCUUCAAUUUUAAUCUAUAUAAAAAAUUAAACUCAUUCAUUUUGGCUGCUUUUUUAAUGUGUGUACGUAUUUAUUUAUUAUUUUGCUCUAACAAGACUUAAUCUAUAUUUAAUUAAAUCAAUUACAUUUGAUUUUACAUUUGAUUUGUCCAUUUCUGCAUCUAAACGCCUAAAAACCUAAAACAUGCUCUAUUAUACUAUUGUUAGCAAUUUCUUUAUCGUCCAAUUUAUCUGGUGUACACACUUUAUUUUCAUAAUAAACUCGUUUGUUAGAUUAUACACAGUUAUAGUGGUCUAUAAUAAAUAUUGACAGGUUUUAUUCAAGCUGUUUAGAAUGAUUGCCAUAGGCUAAUUUUUAAAAAUGUAAAUCCCAAAAAAAAAAAAAAAAAAUGUAAAUAAAUAAAAAACAUUGGAAAAGAAUAACUUGUACUUUUUUAUACAUUUUGUAUAGUUUCAUAGUUUAUGCAUUAUAGUUAUAAAAACAAACAAAUUUAGCCACUCACAUAGAAAUCUUAGGCCUUAUCCUUUUCUGACAGUUUUAGGGAUUUUUAAAAAUCCUAAAAAACCUUAUUUGUACUGCAAAUAAUAAUUUCAAACUAAUUUGAUACUGACCUCUGACAUCCUGUGACAUGAUAUUUAUUUGAAUUUACAUAAUCUCAUGGAUGUAACAGUAAAUCUGUUCAGCUCACAGAUCAAGACUAAGCUGUAAUGCAAGCAGAACUUUCACAAAUGCUUGUAGGUCAAUAAAAUCAUUACAAAACACUUACAAAUCAUUUAAGGGAUUUGAUAACACUGUAAAAUAAUGUCUAAUUUGUUAACAUUAGCAAAUGCAUUGAUAACACUUUAUAAUAACUGCACUCAUUAGUAAAUAGUCAGUUCAUGCUUCAUAAAGCCUUGUCCCAAUAUUAAUAGUCAGUAGUAAGCAGUUUAUAAACACAGCUAUUAAUAGCUCAUUUAUUAAAAAGGAGAGUGAAGGGUCAGUUAUCUUCCUAUGAAAAAAAAAUAAAAAAAAAAUAAACAAACAACAACACUGAUUGAUACAGAACACAGAAAUGUUAUUGUGGAUUUAUGAUAAACUCAGCCUGUAAAUGAAUUAAUUCUCCUCCAAGAAGACACAAGUAGUUCACACCAAACUUUUUUAACAUGAAGCCAUAUACUGAAGAUGUUAAAUUGCGAAUGGGUUUAGGAUACCUUAAAUGGUGUGGCCAUAGAGAUUUAUUAAAGUAACAUAAAAAAAUACCAUAGUUAUUUUACUAUAUCUUUAAAAUUUUUAAUUCCAACUCUUCAUAAUUUUUUAUAUACCUAGAAGUCAUCAUUUGAAGGAAGCACAGUAAGUUUCAUAGCUUUAUCAUUUUCAAGAGCCAGCAUAAAAUUAAAACUAUCAUAACAUAUAAAUCAAGCUUGCAAUUCUUAGUACCAAUAACGGCCACCAGAUGGAGCUAUAGGAUCACUUUUAAAUAAUUAUUGUAGAAACAAGUAUGAUUUAAACCAUUUAUAGAAAUCUUUCAAAUAAAAAUAAUAUGAAUUUUAUGUAUUUUACUGAUAAAAUGACCCUCACUUUAUUAGAAUAACAAGCUGAAGUAUUGUGAACUGUAUUUUAAGAAUAAUUCUUUAUAGGCUUUAUGGACAGAUAAGUUUGGAGUGACUCUUGAAGGAUCAGCACCACAUCCUCUUUUACCACUGUUUAAAGAAUGUAUCUUACAGUACAGGUGCGGAUGAAUUUUGAAUAGCUUGAAUGGUUUUGUCGUGGUGAUUUUUUGAAAUAACAGUAAAAAAGUAACCAGUAAAUGUCUUUUAUUUUUUUAAGUGCAGCUUCUAAACACUUCAAAAAAAUGUACACAUAGAAGACAAGUCAUUCUGAGGAAAUAUGCAUAGUUUCAUGACUAUACAACACUAUAUGGAUGAUAGAAAAUUAAAAAACUAUCAUACAUCUGAUGUCACUCUGUCCCUCUGUCACUGUGGUUAAUGUGUGUGUGUGUGUGUGUGUUUGUGUGUGUGUUAAGUGAAUUAGGUGUGAAACUAUCAGGGAGCAUUUAGUCUCCAGUGCCAACAUUUUACAGAACUGCCACUUUCCUGGAGUCUCAGAAUUACAAUGUGUCAGGUUCUGAGAGAUCUAAGAUUCCAAAAAAUGAUUUAAUUAGAAUACCAUGAAGUAUUGUGAAAUACUAUAUAUUAAGACUUUAUAUAUAGGCUUUAUGAACAGAUUAGAGUGACUCGUGAAGGACCAGCACCACCUCCUCUUGUCCGAUGGUUUGAGGAAUAUAUUUUCCAGA